CCUCCCCGCCCCCUAUCCCUGGUAUUAGAGAUACACAAGACAAUUUCAAACGCUGAUAUGUGCGAAGGGUACAGGAAUCAAACAAAAGCCCGGAACCCCUAAUUGUGGUGGCAAGAAUCGUUUACAAAAAUAUGUUUUCACAGUGGAUUUUUUUCUGCUACAAAUCUUAAUGAUUACGCAUGUCCUAACUGAAAAAAAGAGCAACGAAAUCAAAUUCCCUGGCAAAGUUUAACCCAUGCCGGCCUGCCUUGCCUGCCACAUGAUCGUCUCUGUCACAACAUCAGUAGAUCCAUGACUGAGACUUCAAAAAGCGAGAAGCAAGCAACUAAAGGGGAUUUGUUGGAAAAUCACUAAUACUUCAUUUUGAUCAAUAUAAAGAGGAGUUCCAAUUGCUCUGCAAGGUUGUCUGGCUUAAACAUGUGCACUGCCUUUACCAACACGGAGCUGCAGGGAUUAGAUCACUGAGCCAAGAAGCUAAAACGGAAAACUUUUAUCAGUUUCCCUGUAUGAUGUACAAAUCUAUAAAGAGACACGUUGAAUAAUGGCUUUGGAAAACAGCACUACUCAUCGGAGUUACUCUAUUAUCCCCUGUUUCAUAUUUGUGGAGCUUGUCAUCAUGGCUGGGACUGUCCUUCUUGCCUACUACUUUGAGUGCACAGACACCUUCCAGGUGCAUGUCCAGGGUUUUUUCUGCCAGGAUGGAGAACUGAUGAAGCCAUACCCAGGUCCAGAAGAGGACAGCUUUAUUACACCAUUGGUACUGUACUGUGUGUUGGCAGCAACUCCGACAGCUAUAAUUUUUAUUGGUGAGAUAUCCAUGUAUUUUAUAAAAUCAACCAGAGAAAAUCUUAUUAUCCACGAGAAGACAAUAGUAACAGGAGAGUGCUGUUAUCUAAAUCCACUGCUACGCAGAAUUAUAAGGUUUAUAGGUGUGUUUGCAUUUGGACUCUUUGCUACAGAUAUAUUUGUAAAUGCUGGCCAGGUGGUAACAGGAAACUUGGCCCCUUUCUUUCUGACUGUAUGCAAACCAAACUUUACUGGAGCUGAGUGUCGUGGUCAUCACCACUUUGUAAAUAAUGGAAAUAUCUGCACAGGUGAUCCAGAGGUGAUUGAAAAGGCUAGAAGAUCAUUCCCCUCCAAAGAUGCUGCUUUAAGUAUUUACUCAGCACUGUAUGCUACAAUGUACAUCACAAGCACAAUAAAAACCAAAAGCAGUCGACUAGCAAAACCAGUGCUAUGUCUUGGGACGAUCUGUGCAGCAUUCCUAACAGGGCUAAACCGUGUCUCAGAAUAUCGAAAUCACUGUUCUGAUGUGAUUGCUGGCUUUAUCUUAGGCAGUGCUGUUGCGUUGUUUUUGGGAGUGUGUGUUGUUCACAACUUUAAAGGGAUAAACAGCACACCUGCCAAACCAAAGCCUGAAGAUCCACGAAGCAUGCCAUUGAUGGCAUUUCCCAGUGUAGAGAGCCCUCUUGAGACAUUAAGUGCACAGAUGCCUUUUAAAAAUCACGGUGUUCAGUGCACUAGUGAAGUGUGCCACGUGUAGCUGAUAAAUGAAGACUUGUCACAGAACAUGAGGGUUUGAUGGAAGCUCUGGUUCUUAACUGCUAACAUCAUUAGUACGCUGGUUGCAGGGCUUUUUUCUAAGUCAUCUAAAACAUGUAAAUAUUUAUUCAACUAAGCAACUGACAGAGCUGCUGUGGGUGGAAUCACUCGACUUCAGUGACUGAAGUGACUUGAAUCAGCUGCUCUGCGGUACCAUUCUCCCCUUAUGCUUCAAUACUCCAAGACACUGUUGUUUUAUACUCUGUAUAAGUGUUUGACAGAAGACCAGUAUUAUAUUAUAUCUAGUUUUAGGCUGAUGUUUUGUACAUUUUUUGUAUGACAAUGUGGUGUAGUUUGACUUGAUCUUUGUCAGCUUUAAUAUAUUUAUGCCAGGAAAAGUAUCUAAUUCAUUAUGAAUUUUAUUCAAGAUUAAGACCUAUUUGAAUAUUGUUGUUGUUAUGUGAUAUUUGUACAAAAAUUUUUUCUGGUGUAAUAUGAAUUAAGAGAAUGUAUAUUCCUCAACAUCACUUUGACCGUUUGUUACUUUAGGAUAGUUUUGUCAGGAAAUAAUUAUUUUAGGAUUGUGCUGACUGCUAAAGAUGUGAAAUAUAUUAAUAUUACAAGUUUAAUAAGCUAAACUGACUUUUAAUGUCAUUGUUGACUGCAAAGGCUGUUUUCUAUUAUUGGAAAGCAAAUGUGCAGUGGUAAACAGCACAUAAAAACCCAACAAAAUGUGAAAUAGAUUGACUGCUGAAAUUAAAUAUUUACCAAGUUUAGGUUAGCAAACGGACUGCAAUAUCACUGCCUAAGCUGGAGAUAAGCAUUUACUAUGUGUGCACAAAUACUUUUGUACAUCAUGUUGUUUGGUUUUGGAUUUAGAACAAAUGUUUACAAUUUGUAUAUUAUUGCAAUGAAAAAUAGAGCAACAGUGCCAUUUACUGUAAAAUCAUAUUCUCAACUUUAAUACUUUUUCUUAGUUUUAGCAGGGUUUUAACCCAUCUGUCUGAAGAAAACAGAGACUUUUUGUCUAUAUUUGUUGAUAUUUUCCUGCUUUGUGAGCCUCGUUUUUGUUCUUCACUCAGUUUUUGUACAUUUAAGACUUUUUAAAACUUGUCACAUAAAUUAAAUUGUAAACCACUAA